CGUUUGAAUUUUUAAAACCAUACAAACCCUCAUAAAUAGUAUUUAAGGGAGUUCAAAAUAAACAAUAUCACUUCCCUUGGUGAUUGAUGAAAAUUGAAGGGUUUUAUUGUCAAAAGCGUGCCAGGUUUCGUCAACCUUGAAACAUAACUCCUUUCAUUUUGCAUAUCCUUGAAUAUUUGGUAUUUUGUAGUAAUGUACUAAUGUUUUUUCAUUAGACUCUUAUUUUAGGGGUGUGUAAUACUUAAAAAACAAAUGUUGUGACAACCCGUCCCAAAUUUUACAAUUUUAUAAAUUUUUAAGGGUUGUUAUUCAUUAUUCUAUUCAUUUCUUUUGGUUAUUGUUAUUUUUCUAAUUGAGGGGUUGGAAAAAUUAAGGGAAAAAUAAAAAGAAGAGAAGAAAAGAUGAAGGUUGCCUGAUGGCAGCGAGGUGGAGAGUGAGAGAAAGAAGAUGGGCACUGCCCAAUCAGGAAAGGAGGAGAGUGAGAGUGAGAGUGACGAAUGUGAGAGAAGAACCAGGAGGGAAAGGAGGGAGGUGUGGAGCACCCAACCCAGUCGACCUGUGCACCCAAAACGAAACCAGUUUCGACCUGGUUCCAAUUCCAGCUAGAUUCCACCACUUUUCCGACGAAAGUCACCCAUUCUUCACCUGGAAAUCAUCCCUUGACCUCCCCUCUUCCAUUUCCACCCAAAUUUGGAAGGGAUUUGGGUGUAAAUCAUUUAAAUAAACCACGAGGGUGCCGUGAGACCCUUGCUCGAAAUCCAUCAAUCGUUAAACCAUCUCCUUCAAUUACCACCACUAGAACACUCCUCUAGAACCCAAGAAGAAAGCCCAGGCAGUGGUGGAGGCGUCGGAGCAAGUUGGAAGCCGAAUUGAGGGCACCCAAAACUAAGGUUUUUCGACGGGUUUUAGCAAAAUUGGGGCUCUUCUGGGCCAAAUUGACCUUGGCCACAGGUAUAAAGUUUACUCUACUCUUUGAGAUCUUCAUUUCUGUAAUUUUUUAGAAUUUUUAGAAAUAGUUGAAUUUUCCGGAGAGCCGGGGCGGCCGACCUCCACCCGCAGCUCGUGGCCAAGGGGUCGUCGAUGUUAUUCUUAGGCUAAUUAGAUGCCUUAAGUUCAGUUUUGGUAGUUGUAUGACGUAGGUUGAUUGUUGGAAUCUAAAUUCUCUACGUUACGUUAAUAGGUCAUUAUAUGAAUCGACGAUCCGACCGUUGGAUCGUCACUAAACUUUAAUAUGUUAUAGUACGUAAUAUUUGAGAACCAUAAAAACUUACGGAUCGGGAAUCUGACGUACGGAUCUUUCCAAAUUGGAAUUGUAAGUUCAUAAAAUAAAAUGUUGACCGCCACUUGGUUUUUCGUAAUUGGCGGAGAUCCGACCGUUGGAUCGUAAUUAAAUUUUAGGAUGUUGUUCUAGAAGCAUAAUGUGUAUCUUUAGAAUUAACGGAUAGGAAAUUCGUAACGCAGAUCUUCUGGAUCAAAUCUUAGGGGUGUGUUUUAUGUAAAUUAUGUAUUUUUAUCGAUUAGAACUCUGAGAUGUGAUUUGAUAAUUGGUCAUAGGCGACAAUGGUUCGUGAUAUCUCGAUAUGCAUUCUAGGGAGUCGUAGCGCGGACCUCGGGUGAGUGGGUCUUUUCUAUUCCAUUGUGUAUUAUAUAUAUAUAUGAUUGACAAUUCCAUAAAUGUUUAUGAAUUGAUUAUUGCUUAUGAUUACUGUGAAUGCUUUGAAAUACUAUUAUGAACUACGAAUAGCUUGAUCCCUGUUUAGGGUACGUAGGCAGUCUAACGAGAUGUUAGAUGCAGCCAUACAAGAAGUGAAACUAAAUAAUUGAGGUAAUAGUCUUGUUAGGGAAUUGAGUAAUGUGAGGGACAUUGGUGGAAAGUGUGAGAGUUAACCUUACUACUUGGGGAUUAAUUGUUGGUCAUAAAUCAAUGUGUGAAGAAUCAAGAAUUUGAAGUAAGGAAACGUAAGUAAUGAUAGUUAAUUAAACUAGUGUCUAGCGGGCCUAUCAUCGAUAAUUAUUUCCAAAAAUAAAUAAUUCGAGAGUAGGGCGUUACAGCUUAUGCAUUUUAUGCCUUAUCACACACACACACACACACACACACAUAUAUAUAUAUAUAUGGAUGUAUAUAAUUGAUAAUGCUAUGACAUGUUUGAGUAUCAGAUUGCAUCAUGGUUUAUUUACAUGUAUAUUGCCUGCACAUAAUUAUCGUGAACGCUUGAAGUGCAAAAGUGAACGCAGGAGACCCAGGUAAGUUCAGGUAAGGUUAUGGUAUUAGUUGAAAUGAUGGAGUUAUGGCAUGACUACAUGCAUGUUUUAGGCAACUCCGACAUUGUCGUACAGGUUGCCUAUGAGUUGUAUAUGUCAUGUGAGAUUGCUUUAGUUAUGCCAGAUGAUGAGAUGCAUUUAGAGCUCAUAAACCUACACCCCGGUAUUAGUGCUUCCGCUAGUGGCCAGGGCACAAUCUUUCACGUGAUGUUCACCUCCCGCACCUUACGCUCAUCUUGGAUUCAAGAUAGGUUCACAUGCCUGUUGUACAGACCACUAUAGGUGGUUUCGACUCGUAGGUGACCCACGAUUAUUCGCAUAGUCUUCACAUGAUCGUGGCACUUGAGCGUAUUUAUUUACACCCAGUCAUGUCGUACAGACCACUUUAGGUGAUUCCGACUCCUAUGCAGGUAUACUUAUUGAGAUAUGGAUAAGUCGUAUAGGUCACUAGAGGUAACUCCCGACUUAUGAGCUAGCAUAUGUGAUGAGAUACGGAUAAGUCGUACAGGUCACUAGAGGUGACUCUCGACUUAUGACCUUAUAAGCUAGCAUAUGUGAUGAGAUAUGGAUAAGUCGUACAGGUCAUUAGAGGUAACUCUUGACUUAUGAGCUAGCAUAUGUGAUGAAAAUGUAAUAAGUUAGCAUAUGUGAUGAAAAUGUGAUGAGCUAGCAUAUGUGAUGAAUAUGUAAUGAGCUAGCCUAUGUGAUGAAAACGUAAUAAUGAGCUAGCAUAUGUGAUGAACAUGUGAUGAGUUAGCAUAUGUGAUGAGAUAUGUGAUAAGCUAGCAUAUGUGACGAAAUAUGUGAUGAACUAGUGUAUGUGAUGAGAUAUGGGUAAGUCGUACAGGUCACCUUAGGUGAUUCCGACUUGCGUGCUAGUAUGAGUUAUUAAUCACAUGAUUAUUUGAUAUUAUUAAUGAGAUGCUGUGUUGUGGUAUAUUAUGAUUUUUUUGGAAAUUAUACAGGUGUUGUAGUGAGGGGCUAGAAUUUUUUAUAUGGUUUCUAUUAAAAUUUUACUUACAGAGCCACUCACCCUUGUCUUGUCUUCACCCUCCAAGUUUUAUUAGCUGAGCUUUCUUAUC
rnacentral:lncRNA from 1 species